rnacentral:rRNA from 1 species
GCUAGUCGCACGAGUUCAGACUCGUGGCGAACAGCUCAGUAACACGUGGCCAAUCUCCCCCACAGCGACGGAUACCCUCGGGAAACUGAGGUUAAUCCGUCAUACCCAUCUCACGCUGGAAUCGCCGAGAUGCUCAAAACGCUCUCCGGAGCGCUGUGGGAUGAGGCUGCGGUUGAUUAGGUAGACGGUGGGGUAACGGCCCACCGUGCCCAUAAUCAGUACAGGUUGUGAGAGCAAGAACCUGGAGACGGAAUCUGAGACAAGAUUCCGGGCCCUACGGGGCGCAGCAGGCGCGAAACCUUUACACUGCACGCCAGUGCGAUAAGGGGACUCCAAGUGCGAGGGCAUAUCGUCCUCGCUUUUGUGUACCGUAGGGAGGUACAGAACAAGGGCUGGGCAAGACCGGUGCCAGCCGCCGCGGUAAUACCGGCAGCCCGAGUGAUGGCCGAUCUUAUUGGGCCUAAAACGUCCGUAUGCU